rnacentral:rRNA from 1 species
UACGGGGGGGGCAAGCGUUGUUCGGAAUUACUGGGCGUAAAGGGCUCGUAGGCGGCCAACUAAGUCGGAUGUGAAAUCCCCAGGCUUAACCUGGGAACUGCAUCCGAUACUGGAUGGCUUGAAUCCGGGAGAGGGAUGCAGAAUUCCAGGUGUAGCGGUGAAAUGCGUAGAUAUCAGGAGGAACACCAGUGGCGAAGGCGGCAUCCUGGACCGGUAUUGACGCUGAGGCGCGAAAGCUAGGGUAGCAAACGGG